rnacentral:rRNA from 1 species
AUGAACGCUAGCUACAGGCUUAACACAUGCAAGUCGAGGGGCAGCAUGGUCUUAGCUUGCUAAGGCCGAUGGCGACCGGCGCACGGGUGAGUAACACGUAUCCAACCUGCCGUCUACUCUUGGACAGCCUUCUGAAAGGAAGAUUAAUACAAGAUGGCAUCAUGAGUCCGCAUGUUCACAUGAUUAAAGGUAUUCCGGUAGACGAUGGGGAUGCGUUCCAUUAGAUAGUAGGCGGGGUAACGGCUCACCUAGUCUUCGAUGGAUAGGGGUUCUGAGAGGAAGGUCCCCCACAUUGGAACUGAGACACGGUCCAAACUCCUACGGGAGGCAGCAGUGAGGAAUAUUGGUCAAUGGGCGAGAGCCUGAACCAGCCAAGUAGCGUGAAGGAUGACUGCCCUAUGGGUUGUAAACUUCUUUUAUAAAGGAAUAAAGUCGGGUAUGGAUACCCGUUUGCAUGUACUUUAUGAAUAAGGAUCGGCUAACUCCGUGCCAGCAGCCGCGGUAAUACGGAGGAUCCGAGCGUUAUCCGGAUUUAUUGGGUUUAAAGGGAGCGUAGAUGGAUGUUUAAGUCAGUUGUGAAAGUUUGCGGCUCAACCGUAAAAUUGCAGUUGAUACUGGAUAUCUUGAGUGCAGUUGAGGCAGGCGGAAUUCGUGGUGUAGCGGUGAAAUGCUUAGAUAUCACGAAGAACUCCGAUUGCGAAGGCAGCCUGCUAAGCUGCAACUGACAUUGAGGCUCGAAAGUGUGGGUAUCAAACAGGAUUAGAUACCCUGGUAGUCCACACGGUAAACGAUGAAUACUCGCUGUUUGCGAUAUACUGCAAGCGGCCAAGCGAAAGCGUUAAGUAUUCCACCUGGGGAGUACGCCGGCAACGGUGAAACUCAAAGGAAUUGACGGGGGCCCGCACAAGCGGAGGAACAUGUGGUUUAAUUCGAUGAUACGCGAGGAACCUUACCCGGGCUUAAAUUGCAGAUGAAUUACGGUGAAAGCCGUAAGCCGCAAGGCAUCUGUGAAGGUGCUGCAUGGUUGUCGUCAGCUCGUGCCGUGAGGUGUCGGCUUAAGUGCCAUAACGAGCGCAACCCUUGUUGUCAGUUACUAACAGGUUCCGCUGAGGACUCUGACAAGACUGCCAUCGUAAGAUGUGAGGAAGGUGGGGAUGACGUCAAAUCAGCACGGCCCUUACGUCCGGGGCUACACACGUGUUACAAUGGGGGGUACAGAGGGCCGCUACCACGCGAGUGGAUGCCAAUCCCCAAAACCUCUCUCAGUUCGGACUGGAGUCUGCAACCCGACUCCACGAAGCUGGAUUCGCUAGUAAUCGCGCAUCAGCCACGGCGCGGUGAAUACGUUCCCGGGCCUUGUACACACCGCCCGUCAAGCCAUGGGAGCCGGGGGUACCUGAAGUGCGUAACCGCGAGGAGCGCCCUAGGGUAAAACUGGUGACUGGGGCU